rnacentral:rRNA from 1 species
UGCGUAGACGGUUAUGUAAGUCGGGUGUGAAAGCCCCGGGCUCAACCUGGGAAUGCCAUUCGAGACUGCAUAGCUAGGGUGCGGAAGAGGGAAGCGGAAUUUCCGGUGUAGCGGUGAAAUGCGUAGAUAUCGGAAGGAACACCAGUGGCGAAAGCGGCUUCCUGGUCCAGCACCGACGUUCAGGCACGAAAGCGUGGGGAGCAAACAGGAUUAGAUACCCUGGUAGUCCACGCCAUAAACGAUGAGAACUAGACGUUGAGAGGGUAAGCCUCGCAGUGUCGUAGCUAACGCGCUAAGUUCUCCGCCUGGGGAGUACGGCCGCAAGGUUGAA